rnacentral:rRNA from 1 species
GACGAACCGAGCAAACGUUAUUCGGAAUCACUGGGCUUAAAGGGCGCGUAGGCGGGUCAGCAAGUCAGGGGUGAAAGCCCCCAGCUCAACUGGGGAAGUGCCUUUGAUACUGUUGAUCUCGAGGGAGGUAGGGGCGUGCGGAACUUCCGGUGGAGCGGUGAAAUGCGUAGAGAUCGGAAGGAACACCGGUGGCGAAAGCGGCGCGCUGGACCUCUUCUGACGAUGAGGCGCGAAAGACAGGGGAGCAAACGGG